rnacentral:rRNA from 1 species
AAUGCGUGAAGCGUAGCGAACUUAAAAGUAGCGAAGCGUGUGGAGUCACUGUCAGGAAAAGCCGCUAUUGCGUAUCAUGAACCCGUACCGUAAACCGACACAGGUGGAUGAGGAGAGAAUCCUAAGGCCGACGGAAGAAGCAUUGUUAAGGAAUUCGGCAAAAUGACCCCGUAACUUCGGGAGGAGGGGUGCCUACGAAUGUAGGCCGCAGAGAAUUGGCCCAAGCAACUGUUUAGCAAAAACACAGGUUUAUGCGAAACCGAAAGGUGAAGUAUAUGAGCUGACGCCUGCCCGGUGCUGGAAGGUUAAGGGGAGAGCUUAGAGGCAACUCGAAGGUUCGAACUUAAGCCCCAGUAAACGGCGGCCGUAACGAUAACGGUCCUAAGGUAGCGAAAUUCCUUGUCGGGUAAGUUCCGACCCGCACGAAAGGCGUAAUGAUUUGGGCACUGUCUCGACAAUGCAUCCGGUGAAAUUGAAAUACCAGUGAAGAUGCUGGUUACCCGCGCCAGGACGGAAAGACCCCAUGGAGCUUUACUCCAGUUUGAUGCUGGGAUUCGGUACUGCAUGUAUAGGAUAGGCGGGAGACUAGGAAGAUAUAACGCCAGUUGUAUCAGAGUCGCUGUUGGGAUACCGCCCUUGUAGUACUGGGUUUCUAACCUGCCACCGUGAACCGGUGGAGGGACAACGUCAGGCGGGGAGUUUGACUGGGGCGGUCGCCUCCGAAAGGGUAUCGGAGGCGCUCAAAGGUUCCCUCAGAAUGGUUGGAAACCAUUCGAAGAGUGCAAAGGCAGAAGGGAGCUUGACUGCGAGGUCGACGGACCGAGCAGGUACGAAAGUAGGACUUAGUGAUCCGGUGGUAGAAAGUGGGAUUGCCAUCGCUCAACGGAUAAAAGCUACCCUGGGAUAACAGGCUAAUCACUCCCAAGAGUUCACAUCGACGGAGUGGUUUGGCACCUCGAUGUCGGCUCAUCGCAUCCUGGGGCUGUAGCAGGUCCCAAGGGUUGGGCUGUUCGCCCAUUAAAGCGGUACGCGAGCUGGGUUCAGAACGUCGUGAGACAGUUCGGUCCCUAUCCGGCGCGGGCGUAGGAUAUCUGAAAGGAGCUGGCCUUAGUACGAGAGGACCGGGCUGGACGGACCGCUGGUGUAUCUGUUGUCAUACCAAUGGCAUAGCAGGGUAGCCAAGUCUGGAAGGGAUAAACGCUGAAGGCAUCUAAGCGUGAAGCCCCCCUUAAGAUAAGAUAUCCCUGGAGUUAAUCCAGUAAGACCCCUUGAAGACGACGAGGUAGAUAGGGCAGAGGUGGAAGUGUGGUAACACAUGGAGCUGACUGUCACUAAUAGGUCGAGGGCUUGACC